rnacentral:rRNA from 1 species
ACCGGCAGCUCAAGUGGUGGCCAUUAUUAUUGGGCCUAAAGCGUUCGUAGCCGGUUUGAUAAGUCUCUGGUGAAAUCCCGCAGCUUAACUGUGGGACUUGCUGGAGAUACUAUCAGACUUGAGGUCGGGAGAGGUUAGGGGUACUCCCAGGGUCGGGGUGAAAACCUAUACUCCUGGGAGGACUACCUGUGGCGAAGGCGCCUAACUGGAACGAACCUGACGGUGAGUAACGAAAGCCAGGGGCGCUAAUCG